UACGAAGGGUGCAAGCGUUACUCGGAAUUACUGGGCGUAAAGCGUGCGUAGGCGGUUUGUUAAGUCCGCUGUGAAAGCCCUGGGCUCAACCUGGGAAUUGCAGUGGAUACUGGCAAGCUAGAGUGCGGUAGAGGAUGGUGGAAUUCCCGGUGUAGCGGUGAAAUGCGUAGAGAUCGGGAGGAACACCCGUGGCGAAGGCGGCCCACUGGUCCGGUACUGACGCUGAGGCGCGAAAGCUAGGGGAGCAAACAGG
rnacentral:rRNA from 1 species